rnacentral:rRNA from 1 species
GACCGAGGGGGCAAGCGUUGCUCGGAAUUACUGGGCGUAAAGGGCGCGUAGGCGGAAUGGCAAGUCGGUCGUGAAAUCCUUCGGCUCAACCGAAGAACGUCGAUCGAAACUGCCGUUCUUGAGGAUUGCAGAGGAGACUGGAAUUCCUGGGGUAGCGGUGGAAUGCGCAGAUAUCAGGAGGAACACCGAUGGCGAAGGCAGGUCUCUGGGCCACUACUGACGCUGAGAAGCGAAAGCAUGGGGAGCGAACAGG